AUUUUGAACUUUGGUUGAUUAUGGAGUUGGUUUGAGUUUGAGGUGAGUCUGACUGCUCUGGUGUGGUCACCGGCGUUCGAGUAUGGUUGCUGGUUCGCGGUACGGGUUCUAUUUUCCGGCGAUGGCCCCAUUGUUGAUGUUGAUCUUUAUUUUUUCAAUAGUCGUUCUUCAUUAGCUAGGUUCUUUAUGUUACUAGCUAGGAUAUUUUUCAUUGAUUUCUGGUUUUUGGAGGAGGGAUGGCGUCGAUGAUGGUAUAAGAGGUGAUGG
rnacentral:lncRNA from 1 species